rnacentral:lncRNA from 1 species
GGGGGAGGCUGCCCUAUUACCAAAGCGCACGUGUCCACGUUCCAACACCGCCGGCGAGAGCAGCCUUCGUGACCCCAGCUGCCGGAGAAAGAAAUGUAAAAUGCAGCCAGGCGAAUCGCGCGGGUCUCCCCAAACUUCCGUUCUCCUCCGACCCGCUGGAAAGGCUCCUGACUGGGGUGCAGCUGACCGGAGCGGGCUGCAGCGGGCCCGGGUGCCAAGGUGCCGUCUCAGCUGGGCGCCCUAGGGCCGUGUGUGCUUGGCAAGCUGCAGGGCCUCUGCUCCCAAAGCCUGUGCCUCCUGCCGCCAAGGCCCGCCUGGUUGCUGGAGACGGAAAUGAGAUGGCAUACACAGAGCUCCUGGUACAGGCAGUGGUCAGUUCCAUUCAUGUUGAAAGGUGUACCCCAGCCUCUCUCUUCCACUUUCCUCAGCACCAAGCCAACGCAGGCAAAUUCAUAGGUUUUCCUUAAGACAAUACCACUUUAGCCAGACGUGGUAACUCCCCAAGUUUCCAAGCACAGUUAGAGAUCUUCCUACCCUUCUGCUCCUAAGACAUGCCUGCUUGUGGCCAAUAGAGAAUGAGAGCAGAUUUCUGCUUACCUAUGCGGCAAUCUGUUCUGUUGGCCACCCAUUCAUAAACGAUAGUACAUGUGUCGUAAUCAUCUUUGCAUUUGAGAGAGUACCAAACACAGUGCUUUACCCACUGAUACAAACGGUACUUAGUAAAGCAUGCGUUGAAUUUUUGUCUAUCUUAUAAUG